rnacentral:rRNA from 1 species
GAUGAACGCUGGCGGCGUGCCUAAUACAUGCAAGUCGAGCGAACGGACGAGAAGCUUGCUUCUCUGAUGUUAGCGGCGGACGGGUGAGUAACACGUGGAUAACCUACCUAUAAGACUGGGAUAACUUCGGGAAACCGGAGCUAAUACCGGAUGAUAUUUUGAACCGCAUGGUUCAAAAGUGAAAGACGGUCUUGCUGUCACUUAUAGAUGGAUCCGCGCUGCAUUAGCUAGUUGGUAAGGUAACGGCUUACCAAGGCAACGAUGCAUAGCCGACCUGAGAGGGUGAUCGGCCACACUGGAACUGAGACACGGUCCAGACUCCUACGGGAGGCAGCAGUAGGGAAUCUUCCGCAAUGGGCGAAAGCCUGACGGAGCAACGCCGCGUGAGUGAUGAAGGUCUUCGGAUCGUAAAACUCUGUUAUUAGGGAAGAACAUAUGUGUAAGUAACUGUGCACAUCUUGACGGUAACUAAUCAGAAAGCCACGGCUAACUACGUG